CCAGCAGCCGCGGUAAUUCCAGCUCCAAUAGCGUAUAUUAAAGUUGUUGCGGUUAAAACGUUCGUAGUUGAACUUGUGCUUCAUACGGGUAGUACAACUUACAAUUGUGGUUAGUACUAUACCUUUAUGUAUGUAAGCGUAUUACCGGUGGAGUUCUUAUAUGUGAUUAAAUACUUGUAUUUUUUCAUAUGUUCCUCCUAUUUAAAAACCUGCAUUAGUGCUCUUAAACGAGUGUUAUUGUGGGCCGGUACUAUUACUUUGAACAAAUUAGAGUGCUUAAAGCAGGCUUCAAAUGCCUGAAUAUUCUGUGCAUGGGAUAAUGAAAUAAGACCUCUGUUCUGCUUUCAUUGGUUUUCAGAUCAAGAGGUAAUGAUUAAUAGAAGCAGUUUGGGGGCAUUAGUAUUACGACGCGAGAGGUGAAAUUCUUGGACCGUCGUAAGACUAACUUAAGCGAAAGCAUUUGCCAAAGAUGUUUUCAUUAAUCAAGAACGAAAGU
rnacentral:rRNA from 1 species